rnacentral:rRNA from 1 species
AGAGUUUGAUCCUGGCUCAGAACGAACGCUGGCGGCGUGCCUAACACAUGCAAGUCGUGCGCGAAUGGAGCAAUCCUAGUAGAGCGGCGAACGGGUGCGUAACACGUGGGUAAUCUGCCCGGAAGAUCGGAAUAACCUGCCGAAAGGCAAGCUAAUACUGAAUAAGCCCACGGGGGCUUCGGCCCCUGAGGGAAAAGAUGGCCUCUGCAUGCAAGCUAUCACUUCUGGAUGAGCCCGCGGCCCAUCAGCUAGUUGGCGGGGUAAUGGCCCACCAAGGCAACGACGGGUAGCUGGUCUGAGAGGACGAUCAGCCACACUGGAACUGAGACACGGUCCAGACUCCUACGGGAGGCAGCAGUGGGGAAUUUUGCACAAUGGGCGCAAGCCUGAUGCAGCAACGCCGCGUGUGUGAUGAAGGUCUUCGGAUUGUAAAGCACUUUCGACUGGGACGAAAACCCGUUGGCUAACAUCCAACGGCUUGACGGUACCCUCCGAGAAAGCCCCGGCUAACUACGUGCCAGCAGCCGCGGUAAUACG